CAGGUUAGCAAAAAAGGUAUCUGUUACUUCUUUCUUGGGAUGCUGCAGCCAUUGUGUCUGAUAUUAGAGCUCUUGCUGGGGAAAUGAAGCCGAGUCUGGUUUGGUCUUCCAGAGGGGGAAAUAAGUCAGCACAUUGGUUGGCUUCUCAGAGGGCUGCUUCAAUUUGCAUUUCAUGAGUUACAGUUCCUCCCCCUAAUCUUCUAAAGAUUUUGGGUUUACAUAGGGGGGUUGCUCCCUAGCUGUAUUUGUCGAUCAAAAUAAAGAAAGAAAGA